rnacentral:misc_RNA from 1 species
UGGUUCUGGCAUCGAUGAAGAACGCAGCGAAAUGCGAUAAGUAAUGUGAAUUGCAGAAUUUAGUGAAUCAUCGAAUCUUUGAACGCACAUUGCGCCCUCUGGCAUUCCGGAGGGCAUGCCUGUUCGAGCGUCAUUACAACCCUCAAGCCCUGCUUGGUGUUGGGUCGCGCCGCCCGGCCGGCCCCAAAGACAGUGGUGGCGCCCCCCGACUCUCAGCGUAGUAACUCUCUCGCUGUAGGGCUCGCGGUGGUGUCGACACCCUAAACUCUCACGGUUGACCUCGGAUCAGGUAGGGAUACCCGCUGA